rnacentral:rRNA from 1 species
AGUGAACGCUGGCGGUAGGCCUAACACAUGCAAGUCGAGCGGCAGCGCAGGGGCAGCUUUGUCUGCGAGGGGCCGACGGGUGGGGGAUUCGUCGGUACAUCGCUAUCUGCGGGGGCGUGGGUAGUGACGUUUGGGCAAUUACCGUAAUAGCCCAUACGACCUACGGGUGGAAGCGGAAGAUCUUCGGACCUUGCAUGAGCGGAUGAGCCGAUGGCGGAUUAGCUAGUUGGCGGGGUAAAGGCCCACCAAGGCGACGAUCGGUAGCUGGUCUGAGAGGAUGAUCAGCCACACUGGAACUGAGACACGGCCCAGACUCCUACGGGAGGCAGCAGUGGGGAAUAUUGGACAAUGGGCGCAAGCCUGAUCCAGCCAUGCCGCGUGGGUGAAGAAGGCCUUCGGGUUGUAAAGCACUUUUGUUCGGAAAGAAAACCCUGAGGCUAAUACCUUCGGGGGAUGACGGUACCGAAAGAAUAAGCACCGGCUAACUUCGUG